CAGCUUCAGCACGGCUUGACGAGCGAUGAUAGGUCCACGCCCAGGAUCCGAACCAGUGAAACCCUGGGCCACUGAAGCAGAACGCAUAAACUUAACCAUUCAGCCAUGGGGCCGGCCCCGGGAAGAACCUCUUUAAAACCUGAGCUCCAUCCACAUGCCCAGCAUUAUUAGGUCUAUAAAAAUGGUAUCAGAAUCCUAAUGCUGGAUGAUGUGACCAUUUCAGCAGUUUCGAAUGUAGCUGAAGUUAAAAAAAGAAAUGUACCACUCAUUUAUUUGGGUUCAUGGAAGAAUAAGAACCAAAUCAAGAAAAGAACAGAAGGGGAAAAUGACAGGUAGAAGAAAAAUAUGCAGUGGAAGCCAAAUGGGAGACGGUUUCGAUGAAGAGUCAGAUGCUGCAGAGAUCAAGGAGCAACAGUGGUGGCACAGAAGGCAGGCUGCUGUAAGUUGAUGAGGAAACAGCAUGUGUAAUCUUUUUUCUUCUUAAUGUAAACAUUUUAUAGAAAUAUAGAAAGAUAAAUACAUGGACCAUAAGUGUACACAUUGAUGAAUUUUCACAAAGUGAACAUGUCCAUGAACCCAGCACCCAAAUCAAGAAAUUAACUGCAACCGCAAAGCCCCUCUGCACCCUCUCCUGCUCACUACCCUUUCUACUCUGUUCCUAGUAAACUGACUUCUAACAUCAUAGAUUAGUUUUGCCUGUUUUUGAACUUUAUAAUAAAUAGUAUUGUAAGCGUGUACCCUUUGGGUUUAGCUUCUUUGGUUUGACAUUGUGUUUGUGAAAUUCAUAGAUAUUAUCGCAUCAUUCUCAUUGCUGUACAGUGGUCUGUUGUACACAUAUACACUAUUUAUCCAAUCUAUUGAUUGUGAGGCGUUUGAAUUGUUCAUAGUUUUUCACUAUUAUGACCAGUGCUACUAUGAACAUUAACAUACGAUCCUUUGGUGAACACAGAUACGCAUUUCUGUUGGUUAUCUUGCAGUGGAAAUCCUGGCUUAUAGAGUAUGCAUAUAUUUAAAUUUAGUAAAUAAUGCCAGACAGUUUUCAAAGAUGUUCAUUUUAAUUUAUACUCCCACGAGCACAGUAUAAGAGUUCUAGUUGCUCUAUAUUCUUACUACUGUUUGUCUUUUUUAAAAUUUCAGCCAUUCUGAUGGGUGUGUUUAGGGUGUUCUUUGAAGAAUAGUUUGGUGACAAACGGGAGAAAGACAUGAGGCAAUGACUUAAAGGAGAACAGCAAGAUUUUAGGAUGGGGCUAACUACAAGCUAAGGGAAUAGAAUCAGAAGCUUAGAAGAGACUAAAGAUAUAAGAAAGGAUAACCGGUAAACUAAGGGAAACUUAAGGCAGGCAACAGCAAGUGAGACCAAUACUACAGGUUGACUCUCCUGUGAGAGAGGAGGGAAGAAAGUAGGCAAGACAGACAAUAUAAUUUCUUAGUGAGGUAAAAGGAAGGGGUCAUGUGCUGAGUGUUGGAGCAAUACACCAAGUUUAGGGACUGUUGGAAAAUGGUAAUGAGAGCUAUGAAAGAGGAGUCAAAGGAUUGUUGAACAACAGUGAAGGAUAUCUUUGAAAUUUUGGUGAUUCAUAUUAGGAAAUUAUAAUUUACGGCACUGCCUACUCUGACUCCUCAACUGGGAGCAUUUCUCCAUUCAGGAGAAUUCCCUUUGGUGGGUCGGGGUGGUCACAUGCUCCACCCAGUUAACACAUUUCUAAACAGUAUGUCGAAUGGGAUUUAUUUUUCUUGCUAUCCUGGAAUUCCAACUAUGGCCCAAAGCAGAGGACUAAGGGUGCUAAGCAUCUUACAUUCUAAAGAGCUACCAACCUUUGAAGCCAGCCCCCUUCCUUCAAGGGCUCACUGAGAGGAGCCAGUUCAGGACAGGUCUCACCAUCAAUUCCCCGGCUCUGGCCUCUUGCAUCUUAUCCCUAC